rnacentral:rRNA from 1 species
UACAGAGGUCCCAAGCGUUGUUCGGAUUCACUGGGCGUAAAGGGUGCGUAGGUGGUGAAGUAAGUCGGAUGUGAAAUCUCGGAGCUCAACUCCGAAACUGCAUUGGAAACUACUUUGCUCGAGGGUUGGAGGGGGGACUGGAAUUCUCGGUGUAGCAGUGAAAUGCGUAGAUAUCGAGAGGAACACCAGUGGCGAAGGCGAGUCCCUGGACAACUCCUGACGCUGAGGCACGAAGGUCAGGGGAGCAAACGGG